UUAAUUCAAAUUUGUAUGGAGUUGGAACGUUUGCCUAAGUUUGCCGCUAGGGGCGCUGUUCCAACUGUAUACAAAUUCGAGUUA
rfam:Bombyx mori DNA, contig: Bm_scaf107_contig36921, strain: p50T/Dazao, build 2, whole genome shotgun sequence.